AGAGUUUGAUCCUGGCUCAGGAUGAACGCUAGCGGCAGGCCUAAUACAUGCAAGUCGAACGGGAUUUCAGUGUAGCUUGCUACGCUGAAUGAGAGUGGCGCACGGGUGCGUAACGCGUGAGCAACCUACCCAUAUCAGGGGGAUAGCCCGGAGAAAUCCGGAUUAACACCGCAUAACAUUACCGGAUGGCAUCAUUUGGUAAUCAAAUAUUUAUAGGAUAUGGAUGGGCUCGCGUGACAUUAGCUAGUUGGAGAGGUAACGGCUCACCAAGGCUACGAUGUCUAGGGGCUCUGUUUAUGUGUAUCCCCCACACUGGUACUGAGACACGGACCAGACUCCUACGGGAGGCAGCAGUAAGGAAUAUUGGUCAAUGGAGGCAACUCUGAACCAGCCAUGCCGCGUGCAGGAUGACUGCCCUACGGGUUGUAAACUGCUUUUGUCUAGGAAUAACCCUUGGUACGUGUACCGAGCUGAAUGUACUAGAAGAAUAAGGAUCGGCUAACUCGUGCAGCAGCCGCGGUAUACGGAGGAUCGAGCGUUAUCCGGAUUUAUUGGGUUUAAAGGGUGCGUAGGCGGCCUGUUAAGUCAGGAGUGAAAUACGGCAGCUCAACUGUCGCAGUGCUCUUGAUACUGAUGGGCUUGAAUAUCGCUGAAGAUGGCGGAAUGAGACAAGUAGCGGUGAAAUGCAUAGAUAUGUCUCAGAACACCGAUUGCGAAGGCAGCUGUCUAAACGAUUAUUGACGCUGAUGCACGAAAGCGUGGGGAUCAAACAGGAUUAGAUACCCUGGUAGUCCACGCCCUAAACGAUGAUAACUCGAUGUUAGCGAUAUACUGUUAGCGUCCAAGCGAAAGCGUUAAGUUAUCCACCUGGGGAGUACGCCCGCAAGGGUGAAACUCAAAGGAAUUGACGGGGGCCCGCACAAGCGGAGGAGUAUGUGGUUUAAUUCGAUGAUACGCGAGGAACCUUACCCGGGCUCGAAAGUUAGUGAAGGUAGCAGAGACGCUACCGUCCUUCGGGACACGAAACUAGGUGCUGCAUGGCUGUCGUCAGCUCGUGCCGUGAGGUGUUGGGUUAAGUCCCGCAACGAGCGCAACCCCUAUGUUUAGUUGCCAGCACAUCAUGGUGGGGACUCUAAACAGACUGCCUGCGCAAGCAGUGAGGAAGGCGGGGACGACGUCAAGUCAUCAUGGCCCUUACGUCCGGGGCUACACACGUACUACAAUGGAUGGUACAGCGGGCAGCUAGACAGCAAUGUCAUGCUAAUCUCUAAAAGCCAUUCACAGUUCGGAUCGGGGUCUGCAACUCGACCCCGUGAAGUUGGAUUCGCUAGUAAUCGCGUAUCAGCAAUGACGCGGUGAAUACGUUCCCGGGCCUUGUACACACCGCCCGUCAAGCCAUGAAAGUUGGGGGUGCCUAAAGCAUGUAACCGCAAGGAGCGUGUUAGGGCAAAACCGAUAAUUGGGGCUAAGUCGUAACAAGGUAGCCGUAG
rnacentral:rRNA from 1 species